UCGAUCACGAGAACGUCGCAUC
rnacentral:miRNA from 1 species